AUUUACGUUCAGUUACUUUAUUCUCGGGAACGAGGGGACCCCCGUUUUGGGGCUAGCUGGAUCACAAAAAGAGAUAAAGAUUAAGUAACUUGCCUAAAAUUACAUGCCCAUUAAGUACAUGAGGCUGGAUUUGAACUUCCUUCUUCCUGAUUCCAGAUCCAGGACUCAAGUGGUACUUUCUGUCAUGAGUUUCAGAAGAAGCAUAAGGAGAUAAUAAGGAAAGAGAAAUGGGACUUAAUGAAAUUUAUCUGCUUAUAUUCCUCCAUGGGAGGAUGAUACUUGUAAUUUAUAAGAACUUUUGCAUUAUUAUGGCCGUUAGAAGGAGUAUAUAUAAACAGAGGAGCCCAGCUGGUACUAGAAAAACACACAAUUGGAAGCGAUGGGAAGUUUUCUUGAAUAAUGGAAAGGACUGAAAAAAAGAGAAUUUAAAAUGCCAAUUUGAGGACUGUCUUCUAUGAGGAUGAAAGUAAUCAAUAUCAGCUAAGAAACAAAUGACAACACCAGAAAGCUUGAUUAUUCACCAAUUUGGCUAAUCUACUGGGAGAAAUCUUGACUACAUUGGUAGAAGACUAAGUGAAAGCAUCCUAGGUAGAACUAUCCUUGUCACUUGUCAGCACAUUUUAAUGAAAUGCCAGUCUUUUCUACCAAAUCCUGAAGAAAAACCUCUGGGUACCGAUUGAUGAAAUGAUUUUCCUCCCAAAUGGAGCCUAAACUUAAAAUAAAGCACCUCCCAUUUUGCAAAGCACAGCAGUCUGCAAGUUCAAGAGAGGGCAGAAAAGUGAUUCUCAGCCUACUCCACUUUGGAUAUGCUUCUUUGCUUGGUUUCAACUCCACAGAACAAGAUGACUGUGUAUUAAGUAAUCCCUGCUGGCUCCCCAUCCCUGAUUUCCCGCUUCCUUUUUUGGGUUGUCUCCACCCUUAGAGUUGUAAGUCUUUGAGGGCAGGGGUUGUCUUUCUUUUUAUUAAUUGUAUUACCAGCACAUAGUAGAUGCUUAAUAAAAUUGUAUUAUGUAUAUAAAAGAGGUGGAUUAGUUCUUUUUGUGGUGG
rnacentral:lncRNA from 1 species